rnacentral:tRNA from 1 species
CACGGUGUAGCUCAAUGGAUCGAGCGCCGGCGCGUAUACCGCUCGCGGAGAGCGGCUGUUCGAUGGGUUGGUUGACACCUCCAUCGUACCGCGUCGGAGAUCCGGGUUCAAAUCCCGGCAUCGUUC